CAAAAGACUACCAACUAAGAAAAGCCCAGGACCGGAUGGGUAUACAGCAGAGUUUUACAAAACCUUUAAAGAGGAACUAAUACCAAUACUUUUCAAGCUACUUCAGGAAAUAGAAAAAGAGGGAGAACUUCCAAAUUCAUUCUACGAGGCCAACAUCACCCUGAUUCCUAAACCAGACAAAGACACUUCAAAGAAAGAAAACUACAGACCAAUAUCUCUAAUGAACCUAGAUGCAAAAAUCCUCAAUAAAAUUCUGGCGAAUCGGAUACAAAAACAUAUCAAAAAAAUUGUGCACCAUGAUCAAGUAGGAUUCAUCCCUGGGAUGCAAGGCUGGUUCAAUAUACGGAAAUCAAUAAAUGUUAUUCACCACAUCAAUAGACUUAAAGAUAAGAACCAUAUGAUCAUAUCGAUAGAUGCAGAAAAAGCAUUCGACAAAGUACAGCAUCCCUUCAUGUUCAAAACUCUAGAAAAACUAGGGAUAACAGGAAUAUACCUCAAUAUUGUAAAAGCUAUCUAUGCUAAGCCUCAGGCUAGCAUCAUUCUGAACGGAGAAAAAUUGAAGGCAUUCCCUCUAAAAUCUGGAACAAGACAGGGAUGCCCUCUAUCACCACUUCUAUUCAAUAUAGUUCUAGAAACACUGGCCAGAGCAAUUAGACAGAUGAAAGAAAUUAAAGGCAUAAAAAUAGGAAAAGAAGAACUUAAAUUAUCACUAUUUGCAGUGACAUGAUUCUAUACCUAGCAGACCCAAAAGGAUCUACAAAGAAACUAUUAGAGCUAAUAAAUGAAUUCAGCAAAGUGGCAGGAUAUAAAAUCAACACGCAUAAAUCAAAGGCAUUCCUGUAUAUCAGCGACAAAUCCUCUGAAAUGGAAAUGAGGACAACCACUCCAUUCACAAUAUCCUCUCUCUGCUUUCUAAUCAUCAUGUGAACUGGUUCCUUCUACCACACUCUUCCACCAAGAUGUCCUGCCUCAUCUCAAGCCCCAAAGAUUGGAGCCUGUCUUCUUUGGACUAAGACCUCUGAAACCAUGAGGUUUUGAAUGGGAGAGAUGUUUCUGGUCGGGUCCUUUUAGUCAUAGCAGCAAAAAAAACUGACUAAAACACAGGAUCUUGCUAAAUUGCAGAGAAGCCUUGAACUUGAGAUUCUCCUGCCUCAGCCUCCUGAGUUGCUGAGAUUACAGGCAUGAACCAACAUGCCUGGCAAUUUCUAUUGUUUAAGUCCCCCAGUCUGUGGCAUUUUGUUAUGCUAGCCCAAGAUGCUUAGUACAUCUUUCAUGAUUUUAGGAGAAUCUAUUUGCAUGCAAAAAUAUUUAAAACUUUGGAGUUAUAAUUUCUGUGUGUAUUCAUUAAGGCACAUCUGACAAGACCUUUCUCCUUGGCAAUGCUUUUUUCUUUCUUUCUUUCUUUCUUGGUACUAGGGAUUGAACUCAGGGGCACUCAGCCACUGAGCCACAUUCCCAGCCCUACUUUGUAUUUUAUUUAGAGACAGGGUCUCACUGAGUUGUUUAGUGCCUUGCUGUUGCUGAGGCUGGCUUUGAACUCGAAAUCUUCCUGCCUCAGCCUGCCAAGACACUGGGGUUACAGGUGUGAGCCAAUGCACCAAGCAGCAAUGCUUUUAUGAUACCCUUUCAAUUAAAAGCGAUAAAAUACCUUUUAAGAAGUUAUAUUAUGCAGGUUUUUUCCCCAAUUAGUUUAAAUAGUCAGAAUUUGUGAAAUUUUUUCUUUUGACCAAAAACUCUAAAGAAACUAAUAUAUAUCAUAAUAAAUCAAAUGUUAUAUAUGAGCACAUUCUUGCAGCAAGGUUUUGUUUUAUUGUGAGAACACUGAAAUAGAAGAGCUCUAUGUUGAUAAUUACUGAAGAUGAGUGUUGAGGACACGUGGGGUUCAUCG
rnacentral:lncRNA from 1 species